ACGGCUUGACUGUCGGAUCCUGCCUUCCCCAGCCGGAUCUGUGUGUCUCGUGUGGUCCCCCAUUGCCCCACCCCCUCAGCUGCCUGCAGGCUCUGGUCAGCCAGGCCUGAGACGAUGAGAACUGAAAACCCCAUCCGCAUUAGGGAGUGGAGACUGCGGCUGCUGUGUCCCCUUGCCCCUCCAUCAGUUCCUCCACCCUCCAUCGCAGCAGGAGUUCUUCUAAGAUUUGGGGGGUCUCCGCCUGAAGCCCCUUUGAAGAGCAGAAACACAUUAGCACGAUCGCCACCACUGAUGCCCCCCUGUACAUAGUUGAAUAUUCUAGUUGUCGGUCCUUCCGGUUGUGCUACAUGGGACGCCGCCUCACCGUGGCCUGAUGAGCGGUGCCAUGUCCAUGCCCAGGAUCGGAACCGGUGAAACCCUGGGCCGCCGAAGCAGAGCGUGGGAACUUAACCACUCGGCCACGGGGUUUAAUGCUCAAGAUUUUACAUUGGACAGAAGGCAAGGUUGUGUUAAGUAUGAGGCUGUUUUUAUUUUACAGCGACGUUUGUAAAGCAUAUGGAAAGGGUGGACCCUUUUUUAAAGGAAAAAUUUCUUACAAAUAUCCAAUGUCAACCUAAAUUAUUUUUUAUUAUGUUACUUAAAUAUGAAUAAAC
rnacentral:lncRNA from 1 species